UGGGGGAUAUUGCACAAUGGGCGAAAGCCUGAUGCAGCGACGCCGCGUGGGGGAUGAAGGCUUUCGGGUUGUAAACCUCUUUCGCUAUCGAACAAGGCCCGCUUAGGGUGGGUUGAGGGUAGGUGGAGAAGAAGCGCCGGCUAACCACGUGCCAGCAGCCGCGGUAAUACGUAGGGCGCGAGCGUUGUCCGGAAUUAUUGGGCGUAAAGGGCUUGUAGGCGGCUUGUUGCGCCUGCUGUGAAAACGCGGGGCUUAACUUCGCGCGUGCAGUGGGUACGGGCAGGCUUGAGUGUGGUAGGGGUGACUGGAAUUCCAGGUGUAGCGGUGGAAUGCGCAGAUAUCUGGAGGAACACCGAUGGCGAAGGCAGGUCACUGGGCCAUUACUGACGCUGAGGAGCGAAAGCAUGGGUAGCGAACAGG
rnacentral:rRNA from 1 species